CACACAGUGAGCAUCACACACACACACACCGGAGGCAUCACACACACACAGUGAGCAUCACACAAACACAUGACGAUGAGCAACGCCUUACAGGGCGGCCACAGCCCCACUGGGUCGCACCCCGCACCGCGCCUGCGCCCAGGGCUGAAGGCGCAUGUCUCGUGCGAGGCGGGCCGUGCCGAGAGAGUUGAGCACCGGCGGCUUGCGGGUGAGAGCGCGAGACGGACAAGACGGAGGAGUGAGAGAGAGGGGUUGAGGGGGAGGUUGGCAUGGAGGAGGGGAGGGGGGGGAGUCUGAGAGGAGACUGCGAGCGAGAGGAGAGAGAGGCCGAACCGCGACAGCUCCCCAGACGCGCGAGCCGGCCACUGACGGGACCACGCCUCCUCGCGGGUCAUGCCCCGCCCACCACCCCGCCCACAGAGACGGACGCCCCUCCCACAAUGAUGGCAGCCCCCGCCUGUCACGCACGGACCACGCCCGUCGAGACGAACGCCCCGCCUACAAUGAGAGGGAGCCCCGCCCGCAACGCAAUCAACCACGCCCAUCAAGACGGACUCACAGGGACAUCUCGGCCUUCAAAGGCAUAUGCGACCCUAUCCUCUCGAAGGCGGGAAACCCCCAAGUCACGCCCAGCCUGGUGAUGUCACAACGCCUUCAUCCACCACCUCAUGUAACAGCGUCACACGUGGGAACAGAGGUGCGUGACGUCAUUUAUGGACGGUCCCCUUGUCAGGAGAAGCAAACCGUGGACCAUCUCGCCGAGGCGCCCUGCAGCACCCACAAUGCACUCCCAUAAGAUUUGGCAAUGCCAACGCCAAGAGCGGUGGCCUGUGCAGAAUAUUGGGGAGAAGACUCACAUGGGUUGGACGGGAGACACGGCGAAGAGGAGGAAGACAGCAUCACUGACUGUCAGGCUCUCCGACGGCAAACAAACGCAUUUCAAAAUCACCUCCACGGAACACGGAGUGCGUCCCAAAGUGUUGUGCCUGCCAUUCAUUGUACGUGGCGGCAAACGUGUGCGUGCCCGUAGCCCGUCGCUGGGAUGACGGAGCGGGACAGUUCGGUAGGGAACGCGUGUGUGUGUGUGUGAAUUUGUUUUAAAGGAGUCUUCUGUUGGCAUUUUGCUUGAUGUCUUUGCUCAGUUUUGCAGACUUUGUAAUUUAUUUUGCGCCACUCCGUAGCCAAAGGCUAGGGAGCUGGACGCAUGAACGUCGUCGUGACAUUUUGUGUGACUGCACUGCUCAUCCAGUGACGUGAUUGCAUUAAUCAUGUACCAGAGUUACGUGACACAAUUGAAAAUCCAGCAAACCGAGCAUUACAAUACUAAUGUAAUUAAACAGAGUUGUCCUUCACCGCGUUGCAUUACUGGGCUGUGACGGGUAAAAUUAAGUGGCUCAUUCGAGCAAGUGUGUUAGCCUUUCCCUUGGCGGUUCAGCCAAAUGGCUCCUGUCCAUAAUUCCAACCAUCUAUAGACAACAACUGUUCCGCCACUGUUAAGAUGCGCAUUAUCCAUAUUUCCACGCAUUUCCAUCGUGUCAUCAAUCUGACAAGGUGGCAACGAGGUCAAGACAUCUGUUCACGUUCAUCCCAAAAAAUACACCCACAAAGGAUACAUUGAGAUGCGUUAGAACUCCUUUCUUCUGCGGUAAUGCGGCAGGAACUGGCAUCACGGAUCCCUAUUACACUGGCCUAGAAUUUUUUUUAGACGUCGUCUGCUUCAGAGAUGAAAUGCGCUGUUUAUUGUGGAUUUUUACGUGCAGAAUUAAAAUAUGACAAUUAAAAACAACUGAUUGCCUACUGUUCCCCAAUAUAUUUAAGUUUUUACGUUUUUCGUCUAUGUAUAUUUGUGUAGAUAGUAGUAGUUUUACUCGUGAAUUGUAAACCUAUGGUCUUUUCAUGUGUUUAUGGUUGCUUUACGUGAUAACACGUCACCUGUCCUGUUCAUUUAACACUUUAAAAUAAUAGAAUUAUCAGUGACGUCAUCCAACGAAUUGACUCCACUUGUCCGUUAAAAAAAAAACGUACAAAUGCGGAUAUAAAAAUGGUGAAUUUCGCUGUUGGCUCCUCUUAUCCCAAUUUGUUAUUCGUUGGCAACACUGCAGUGGUACACGAGCACGAAUGACAAAAAAAAUCAACAAAUUCGUCACAAGAACAGUGUUGAAAGGAAACAUCGGUCGCAUUUUAGAUAUAUUUUUAUUACUAUUAUAUUCUUAGCUCUUUCGGUAAAAGCAAUAUAUAUUUUUUCUCCUUAAGGCAGGGUGCAGUUCAGGAAAUGUUAACGACUGAACUGUAGAUUACAAUAAGCCCUGUCUUUUCUUCACUUGGUUUCCAAACUAGUCGCGCCGUUUGUGCGUGAUGAUUAUUUCUGAUUAUAAAGUAAGACGUGAGAGAACACAUUCAAUGCUUGACUUAAAGCUUUCGUGACUGCAGGAAUUCAUAUUCUUUGGGUCUUUCGGUAAAGUCACGUAGAUGGUCUCUCUUUCCUCCUGAUGACGAUCGCUUGUGUUGUGAUCGAAACGUCGUAGUUUUUGGUUAUUUUCUUUCAACCUAUCUACGUGACUUUACUUUCAAUGCUGUACGCUAAUAUUGUUCAUGCGUGAAGCACAUUCCACAUACAGCAGGAAUUACAAUUAUUGUACUGGACAGCACAUGGAUAUCCAACUGUCCGCAAAAGUGUAUUAUUCAAGGGUAACAUUUAAUGUACGAAUGCCCUAAUUACUGAGUGGUAUUAAAAAUUACACUCCAGGUGCAAAUCCAUGUUUGUACCCAAAAGCCCAUUAUUACUCCUGCACACACAUUGUCAAUGUAUGCUGUUGUCAGGCUAACUGGACUCUAAAGAUAUAAUUUUUCAGUAUUUUUAUUUUAACGUGAUGUGUGUGCCAUGCAAUGCGUGUACUGUAUAGAAAAAGGGUGUUUCCAUUUUAUCCAAAAAGCAAUGUACCUUGGGGUAAUGCAGUCGCUGUAUGAUGUUGCAGCACAGAUGCUCAGUAAUUGGUUUCUCAGACUGUGAUGCCAUUGUGACCUAUGCACCAGUUACUAUGGCUGUCAUAAACCUUGCCACGGCAAUGUUUUAAGUGGGCAAAAACAGUUUGCUGCAAGUAACAAUACCUUUCAUUCAAAGCCAAUGUGUUUUUUUAUGGAUAAGUUUUAAACCUGGCUUGCUCCCAAAUUGAUUAUAUAAUGGCGACAACCACAUGCAUAGCCAUGUUUCACUACGGUGUGGGGAGCGGUGGUGUUUUGUGGUUGAUGCGCUGGGCUACGAAGCCGGCGACCCGAAUUCG